UUGAUCAUUUUUGUUGGAUCUUGGGUUGGAAAACAGAUCUACUACAUCUUAGUACAUUUUUCUUUUCACGGACAUUUUUUUAAUUAUAAAUUGAUGAAUAAAACUAUGAAAAAGAAAAUCAUGGAUUCUAUUUCAUUUUCGAAAGACCUUGUCUAUACAAUCUCUGAAAAUUCUCCCAGCAUCUUGACUUUUCCAGGUACUCUAUAUCUCUCUUACUAUCCUUUGCAAUGUUUUUUUUUCACUUGCUUGAAAUCAGUGGUUUGAAGCUUAAUAAAUUUUAGUCCUAAAACUUGCCAAGCUACCAGACAUCCCGAAUUGGUUGCCUGUGAAGUCAGUUGCACGAUUCAGGUGCGUAAACAAUGAGUGGCUCAAUUUAUUGUAAAGCUCUGACUUUCUUAAAGCACAAUACCAGCAUGCUGUUGAAUUUGUCCACCAGAUCCUCGACAGCUUCAAAAGAAGGUUCAUUACCUAAUUCUUCUAUUUUCCACGGAACGUUAUGUCUUUGAACUUUUGAAAUUUCAUUUUUCAGAUAAUCAUCAUCUAGAGAGUUACACUCCGCUGCUUCUCCACUGAAUUUCCGGAAAUGGUGGUUUCCAGGGAUUUGUGGAGGAGGAGAAGGAUAGGUAUAAUUUGAUGCGCAGGAAUGGUGAACUUGCCAAGAGAUAUCCUAUCAGACAUCCUGAUUCGGUUGCCUGUGAAGUCAAUUGCACGAUUCAGGUGCGUAAACAAUGAGUGGCUCAAUUUAUGUCAAGCUCUGACUUUCUUAAUGCACAAUACCAGCAUGCUGUUGAAAUUGACAAAUUUAGUAUAAUGCUCCCCAGUAGAUACCUUAAGUUAUGAUCCAUUAUUCUCUACAUGCAAGGAAUCUAGUCAUGACAUACGCCUAGUUGAAUCCACUGAGAGGGGAAUUGAGUUUCUUGGAUGUUGUAAUGGCUUGGUUUUGUUAAGGCAUAUUAAUAAGAAUCACUCUUGUGUUCUUAUGUUAUGGCACCCAUGUUCCAACGAAUGUAAGGGAGUACCAAGUCCACCUGGUGCAUCAAAGGAUCGAAGUAGGAAGUAUGUAGAAUCUGGAUUUGGUUAUGAUUACCAAUAUGAACAUUUUAAAGUGGUGGUUUUGUAACGAUGCAUAACCUCCAAACAUGGGAUCUUUUGAUUGUUUGAGAAGAGAAUUCUGGAAAGUAUCGCUACGGGUUGCAGCCAUUUCCGGCUUGUUCAUAGGAUCCAAGAGCUUAUUAGUACAAAUUCCAGACUCUAUUGAAACUCCUUACUCAAUACCAACAAUACUCUCAUCUGAUCAUCCUCGGGAAACCCAAAUUAUUGAUGGAGGAAUUCGGAAGGUUUGAUUAUUUGGUCUCUUCACUUAGAUGAUAUCAUCAGAAAUUUGUUUCUUUUCUGCUCUAUUCGCAUGUUGUGGAAGCAUUUAUUUGUUUAUCCUGGCUGCUGAUCCAUUUUAUUCUCUUUAAGUCCUCAACAUUGCACUGGGUAUGGUUGGUUUUACAUUUUGAAUAUUCUGACUAUAGGACUGUUGAAUGAUUAUUUGAGUUUGAGGUGAUUUUCCAGUCAAUACUGUUCAUUCUAAUCAAGUUUGUAACAGAUUCAGUUAGAAUAUUAACUGUUCGAUAAAAUGCUUGACAGAGAUUAAAGAGCUUAUUAUUAACACAAAAGUCAGGGUGCGUCACUCUGAAGGCUUCUGCUGCUGUAAUACUAUAUUUACCUGAGUUAAUAUUGGCAUACUUUCAUGGAUCAUGCUUCAUGUUUUACUUUGGUCCAAAGUUAUGAUAGAGGAUAAUGAUUUUGGGGUCUGCUAGCAUCAACCCGAGUUCAGAGAUUCUAAUUUGAGGCAUGCGGGUGGCGGCAUGUUUGUGUCGCUAAUUAAAGAUUACAGCAUAUUCUGAUCUUUUGGGCUGCUGGACUUUGAUAGCGAUGUUAGGUGGUGGCAUAUAUCUUUACGAAAGGACUUAUUUCACCAGUUUUAUGUGGUCUUCAGUCCAAGCUUAUGCAUCCUACUUCUACUUAGCUCGAGGGGGAGUAUUAUUAACUGAAGAAUUUUCUUCUUUGGUGUUGUUAUAAAUAUGUCCAUUCAAUUGUGUUUUUGCUCAGUUUGUUAAGAGUUUGAGUCAACCAGAUGAUGUAAUGACAAGUCUGUCGAAGUUGGUUGUGACUUCUGCCUCUGUCUCCCGUCUCUUAGAAAAGCUAAACUGAGUCCUGUGUUUUCUUAUCCAUUUUCAUUUUAAUAAAAAUCUCUGAACAACUAUUCUCACUCA